AACCUUAUGGACCUGCGGGCGUAUACCUGCGGAAGGAUCAUUACCUAGAGUUGUAGGCCCUGCCUACCAUCUCUUACCCAUGUCUUUUGAGUACCUUCGUUUCCUCGGCGGGUCCGCCCGCCGAUUGGACAAUACUUAAACCCUUUGUAGUUGCAAUCAGCGUCUGAAAAAACUUAAUAGUUACAACUUUUAACAACGGAUCU
rnacentral:misc_RNA from 1 species